UUUUUUUUUUUUUUAAACCAUCCCUCAGUUGCCAUUCUAUAUGCCCUUCACCACAUAAGAUGACUGCUCGUUGGUAAUCACUUUCCCACUGAAAUUCUUGUUGCAGGGUCUUGUGUAGCACUAUAUGCACCUGGAGCAGCCCAAGAGCACAAGAGCUUUUAAAGCAUUACUUCACUAAAGCAAUGAAAAUAUUUUAUCCGCUGGCAGAUACUGGACAAGUGGUUUGGGAUAUCUGUUUCUUACGGAAGUAAAAAAAUAGUCACAUCCUGGGCAGCAUCAGGAAAGCAUUGGCAGCGUUUAAUGGGAUAGGAUCAUUCCCCCCUACUUCACACUGCUGAAACUCACAUGAACUGUUGCAUCCAGUGGUGUUCAAGAAAGACAUGGACUUACCAGAUAAAAAACAGGAAAGGGCUAAAAAUGCAAUGAAGUGCUUGGAUCAUCUACCAUACAAGAAGAGGCUGAUCACAGCAUGGUAUUGGGCAUUUCCUCUGAUACACAUCACUGCAUUUCUGUAACAGAGAUAUCUAAGGUAUCUUAUCUAGGAACAAUCCCAUUAUCACAUUGCUAAAUAAAUUCCUCUCAGGAACACACAGAUGGAAUCAGAAAUUAAAAAGAUACAGGAUCUCACCAACCUCUGAGGUUCUAAACAAUCACAACAAACUUCAUUGUUCCACUGUAAAGUUGUGCAUGGGGUGGAAGUAAGCCACAAAUAUUUAUGAUUUACAAUGCAAAGGGUGCCUUUCUUCUCGCUUUCACCUGUAGCAUUCCAUGAGACUGGACUUUAUUUCUAUUUUCCUAGACUCUCCCAGCCUAUCCAGAAUAUAUCUUUUUGAGUUCAUGCUCGCACAGAUUAAUCAAACACACUCUUACAUGAGGACUUUUUGCAUAGCUGCUUGCUUAGUUACUGUGGUGGCCUUCUCACUGUGUCACCUGUCUGCCACUUCCCUGAGGGCCCCGCAGAGUGACUUGGUAACCAAGCUGCCUUUCAGCAACCCUCAACAGCAGACUUUCAAUUCAGAUGUAACCAAAGAGCACAACGAGGAAGUUAUUGCUUCAAAGCAGGUAGAAUUCAAUGCGGGAAAAAAACAUGUUCUCCACACGCUCCCAGUUCUGGUAAAAAGCAUGCUGGGAAUUCAGCAUAGCCCUGCAUCUUUAGUUCUGUCUUUGAUGCCUCAGAAACAGAACAACGCUGAUGGCUUGUUAUUUUUAUCUCUUUCCAUACAACCUAAUUUUGUACAAUCAACAACCCCCAUGACUGAAUCACACAAUCACUGGCAAGUCCAGCAGGGAAGCAGAGAGCAAAGAGGAAAACAUUCAGUGAGGUUCCUAGAUAGCUCAGGAGUUAAGCUUGAAAACUCAGUCAUGGAGAGGACUUUUCACCCAUUGUGGAAGACCAGACCAGAUAAAAUAAUAGCCUUACUUCAGUAAGGAAGUAGGUGCAACAGUCUUCCCACAAUACAAAAAGUUGAAGGGAGUAAUAUUUAACAGAGAUGAAGACCAGGGAAACAGAUUUACAACAAGAUAUGUUCCAUUAAAUUUCCUUCUUCAUCACUAUAAACCACCUUCAAACUUUUUUUUUUUUUUCUUUAACUAAAACCACUCAAUGAUCCUUCAUAAGCCCUAAAACUUGUUCUGUAAUCACAGGCAAAAACAGGUAGUAUAAGCAGUUGGAGGUGAAUGAAGGCCUGUAGAGCUCUGUUUCCCACAUGCAUCAGCAACUGACUGUACAGUGUCUGUGAAAACGGUAUUGCAAAGUUUUGAUAUGAAUUCUACUAAAACCUGAAUUCAUAGAGUUGUGCAGAAGGUUUGUACUGGAUGCAAAACUCUGUUUUCGUCAACUUUCAAACUUUCUCUAUAAAACUUCAACAACACGAGUAACAUACAACUUAUGGGUCAUAACCCACAAAACAACAACAGUCAUAUGUAUGAUAGUGAUUUUUAUUACAUUCUAACUAUCCACAAUAUUUGAAAUCUAUAAAGUUUGAGUCAUAAUUUUCAAGAUCAGACCCAUGACAGGAAUACAGAGCAUUCCCUGGUUUUAAAAGUGGCAGUUUCCAUUUGUUACUGAAGAGUCUUGGGAAGGAUUUCUUGCUGUAUUUUUCAAAAAUUCCAUCUGCACUGAACUCCCCCAUGCAUGAGCCCCAGCAAGGGGGGAUGCUCAUGCUCAUUUUAACUGAAGGGUUAAGGUUUGAAAAAUCCUCCACAUCUGGAAACAAUGGUUUUGCUUCUAGGUGAACUUUGCUUUCUGCAACAUUCAAACAGCUUCUGUGCUAGCAUAUAAUGGCAAGGAUAAGUAUGACUGAUGGGAAAAAUUCAUAUAAAAAAGUGACUAGUAUCUGCAAGAAAACCAGAAGCAUCUUUUUAAUUCUUACAACACACUGGAUUUGAAGAAAAAUGCUUGGGAAAGCAAGCCUCAUUUCAGCAGUUGUCAGCAAAUGAACUUUCUAUUACCUUCAGCUGAGGUACUAGAGCAAGUAUUAAGUCCUCAGGUUUGCAAACAGGUUCUCAUGCUGAAAAAUGUGAAGUCAUCACUCAUCAGGACUCUUCAUGGGCUGAAAACCCAGGAAAGUGUUUGCAGAACUGAAGUCAAAUGUGUCUAAUGAAUUCAUUCUCUUUGCUAAUGAAAAAGUAAUUAAGACAAACAACUGAGCCAUUCCCAUUUUAAAAUUAAUACUGACUGUAAGUGGAUGGUUUUCACAAAUCAUUUUCUAAACGUUAAGAACUGCUAUUCAUCAAAUAUCCACAUCCAGAAAAUGUUCAUGUUGCAGUUUCAAAUGUUCAUGAAACAACCAAACAGCACCAUCAAAACACCAUAUCUUCUUUAAUAGGUACCACAGAUUGUGGGGUACAUAUACUUCCCCAAGAAGUACUUUUGUAGUAAUGUGUUGCAAUUACUAAUUAUUUUAAUAAAUUGGCUGUCACUAAUUAGAACACCUAUUAAUCUAUCAUUGUUGGAUCAUGGCGUUUAGUUUCAUUUUUUUAAAUCUAAUAUUGACUUCAUAGGGAGAUUUCAGAAAUAGUCUACUGUUAGCUGUAGCACAUCUCCAUUUACAAGACAUGUGAUAGGGGCCACUUGCCCAAGUCCAUUUCCCUGUCAACCUAGAGGGUCACCAGAGCACUCAGCCUCAGUCACAAACAAGCAGGGAGAUACGUGUGUUUGCCUGUUUGCAUCAGAUCAUUUAUUUAUUUAUUUAUCUAUCUAUUUAUUUUUGCCUAUAUAAAGCCCUGAGGUUCACUGGAGAAAACAGAUUUAUUGACAAAUGCACACUAAUCACUGAGAGAAAUGAACAGGUUUU
ensembl:lncRNA